CUGUGGUGCAAAACGUACUUCAAACUUCAUUUAAAGAAACCAAAAUCUGGUAGAUGUGCCUGUCCACCCAAAAAUGGGACCUUAUUCCAAAAAACAGUUUCCUCUGUCCAUACGUAUCUGUAGGGGUAUUGAAUUGCACCUGUAUUAUGCUCUUGACGAUUGGGAUAUCUUUAGCAGCAUAUCGUGAAUAUGGAAGUCCCAAAACUAUAAAAAAAAAUUGUCAUUGAGAGCAUAUACUUCUGAUCAUUAUUCCA